rnacentral:rRNA from 1 species
GAUGAACGCUAGCUACAGGCUUAACACAUGCAAGUCGAGGGGAAACGACAUUGAAAGCUUGCUUUUGAUGGGCGUCGACCGGCGCACGGGUGAGUAACGCGUAUCCAACCUGCCCACCACUUGGGGAUAACCUUGCGAAAGUAAGACUAAUACCCAAUGACGUCUCUAGAAGACAUCUGAAAGAGAUUAAAGAUUUAUCGGUGAUGGAUGGGGAUGCGUCUGAUUAGCUUGUUGGCGGGGUAACAGCCCACCAAGGCUACGAUCAGUAGGGGUUCUGGGAGGAAGGUCCCCACCAUUGGAACUGAGACAACGUCCGAACUCCUGCGGGAGGCAGCAGUGAGGAAUAUUGGUCAAUGGACGAGAGUCUGAACCAGCCAAGUAGCGUGCAGGAUGACGGCCCUAUGGGUUGUAAACUGCUUUUAUAAGGGAAUAAAGUGAGCCUCGUGAGGCUUUUUGCAUGUACCUUAUGAAUAAGGACCGGCUAAUUCCGUGCCAGCCGCCGCGGUAA